UACGAAGGGGGCUAGCGUUGCUCGGAAUGACUGGGCGUAAAGGGCGCGUAGGCGGCGGAGCAAGUCAGAUGUGAAAUUCCCGGGCUUAACCUGGGGACUGCAUUUGAGACUGUUUUGCUAGAGGAUGGAAGAGGCUCGUGGAAUUCCCAGUGUAGAGGUGAAAUUCGUAGAUAUUGGGAAGAACACCAGUGGCGAAGGCGGCUUUCUGGACGGUAACUGACGCUGAGACGCGAAAGCGUGGGGAGCAAACAGG
rnacentral:rRNA from 1 species